GACGAACGCUGGCGGCGUGCUUAACACAUGCAAGUCGAGCGAUGAAACACCUUCGGGUGUGAAUUAGCGGCGAACGGGUGAGGAACACGUGAAGAAUCUGCCUUCAACUCUGGGAUAACUCCGGGAAACCGGGGCUAAUACCGGAUAUGAGCCUUGAUCGCAUGAUCGGGGCUGGAAAGUUUUUCGGUUGAAGAUGACUUCGCGGCCUAUCAGCUUGUUGGUGAGGUAAUGGCUCACCAAGGCGACGACGGGUAGCCGGCCUGAGAGGGCGACCGGCCACACUGGGACUGAGACACGACCCAGACUCCUACGGGAGGCAGCAGUGGGGAAUAUUGGGCAAUGGAGGAAACUCUGACCCAGCGACGCCGCGUGAGGGAUGAAGGCCUUCGGGUUGUAAACCUCUUUCAGUAGGGAAGAAGCGAAAGUGACGGUACCUACAGAAGAAGCACCGGCUAACUAUGUGCCAGCAGCCGCGGUAAUACAUAGGGUGCAAGCGUUGUCCGGAAUUAUUGGGCGUAAAGAGCUCGUAGGUGGUUCGAUACGUCGGAUGUGAAAAUCAGGGGCUCAACCCCUGACCUGCAUCCGAUACGGUCGAGCUAGAGUUUGGUAGGGGAGACUGGAAUUCCUGGUGUAGCGGUGGAAUGCGCAGAUAUCAGGAGGAACACCGAUGGCGAAGGCAGGUCUCUGGGCCAAUACCGACACUGAGGAGCGAAAGCGUGGGGAGCGAACAGGAUUAGAUACCCUGGUAGUCCACGCCGUAAACGGUGGGCGCUAGUUGUGCGAACCUUCCACGGUUUGUGCGACGCAGCUAACGCAUUAAGCGCCCCGCCUGGGGAGUACGAUCGCAAGAUUA
rnacentral:rRNA from 1 species